rnacentral:tmRNA from 1 species
GGGGCUGACUGGUUUUGACAGCAAGAUGAAGGAGUGUGUAAGCAUGCCGAGCCAUGAGGUUUACGCUCGUUAAACAGGAGCUUCAUUUUUAUAACAGGCGAAAAUAACUACGCGCUUGCCGCUUAAUCCAUUCGAUAGAAGGAUUUAGCUAAUCCCGUACAAGGUACGGGAGUGAGCCAUCUCUCAGAAUCCCUGACCAGCGGAGUCUGAUCCAGAGGUGUUGUAAAAGUUGGGAUAGAAUUAUUGGUGGUACGGAGGUAAUUCGAAAUUUAGUACCUAAGCUCAAAGGUAGGGUGUCCGCUCCCAGCCCUGAGUCGAAAACCCAAUAGUGGAAUAAGCAUGUAGAAAGCCCAUUGUUUCCUUGUUUGGACAGGGGUUCGACUCCCCUCAGCUCCAC